GCCAGACUCCUACGUGAGGCAGCAGUGGGGAAUAUUGGGCAAUGGGCGCAAGCCUGACCCAGCAACGCCGCGUGAAGGAAGAAGGCUUUCGGGUUGUAAACUUCUUUUCUCAGGGACGAAGCAAGUGACGGUACCUGAGGAAUAAGCCACAGCUAACUACGUGCCAGCAGCCGCGGUAAUACGUAGGUGGCAAGCGUUAUCCGGAUUUACUGGGUGUAAAGGGCGUGUAGGCGGGAAAGCAAGUCAGAUGUGAAAACCAUGGGCUCAACCUGUGGCCUGCAUUUGAAACUGUUUUUCUUGAGUACUGGAGAGGCAGACGGAAUUCCUAGUGUAGCGGUGAAAUGCGUAGAUAUCAGGAGGAACACCGGCGGCGAAGGCGGCCUGCUGGACCGUGACUGACGUUGAGGCUCGAGAGCGUGGGGAGCAAACAGGAUUAGAUACCCUCGUA
rnacentral:rRNA from 1 species